GGAGGAAAAGAAACCAACAGGGAUUACCUUAGUAACGGCGAGUGAAGCGGUAAUAGCUCAAAUUUGAAAUCUGGCUCUAGGGUCCGAGUUGUAAUUUGUAGAGGAUGUUUCGGGUGCGCCCGCAGUUUAAGUUCCUUGGAACAGGACGUCAUAGAGGGUGAGAAUCCCGUCUUGAAGUGUACGGCAAGUCCAUGUGAAACUCCUUCGACGAGUCGAGUUGUUUGGGAAUGCAGCUCAAAAUGGGAGGUAAAUUUCUUCUAAAGCUAAAUAUUGGCCAGAGACCGAUAGCGCACAAGUAGAGUGAUCGAAAGAUGAAAAGCACUUUGAAAAGAGAGUUAAACAGUAUGUGAAAUUGUUAAAAGGGAAGCGUUUGCAACCAGACUUGUUUCUAACAGUUCUACCGCAGUUCUCUGUGGCUUAUUCUGUUAGUCCAGGCCAGCAUCAGUUUGGGUGGCUCGUUAAAGACUUUGGGAAUGUAUCUACUCCUUCGGGUGUAGACUUAUAGCCCAUUGUGUAAUAGGGUCUACCUGGACUGAGGUACGCGCAUUGCUCGGAUGCUGGCGUAAUGGUUGUAAACGAC
rnacentral:rRNA from 1 species